UACGUAGGGGGCGAGCGUUGUCCGGAUUUACUGGGCGUAAAACGCUUGUAGGUGGCCACGCCAAGUCGGAUGUGAAAUCUCCCGGCUUAACUGGGAGCGGUCAUUCGAUACUGGCGGGCUCGAGGCAGGUAGGGGGAAGCGGAAUUCCCGGUGUAGUGGUGGAAUGCGUAGAUAUCGGGAGGAACACCAGUGGCGAAGGCGGCUUCCUGGACCUGUUCUGACACUGAGGAACGAAAGCGUGGGGAGCGAUCCGG
rnacentral:rRNA from 1 species